GCCCUUCGGGGGAAAGUGGGGGAUCUUCGGACCUCACGCUAUCAGAUGAGCCCGCGUCGGAUUAGCUUGUUGGUGAGGUAAAGGCUCACCAAGGCGAUGAUCCGUAGCUGGUCUGAGAGGAUGACCAGCCACACUGGGACUGAGACACGGCCCAGACUCCUACGGGAGGCAGCAGUGGGGAAUAUUGGACAAUGGGGGCAACCCUGAUCCAGCCAUGCCGCGUGUGUGAAGAAGGCCUUCGGGUUGUAAAGCACUUUCAGCUGUGAGGAAAGGCGAGUGGUUAAUACCCGCUUGCUGUGACGUUAACAGCAGAAGAAGGACCGGCUAACUCCGUGCCAGCAGCCGCGGUAAUACGGAGGGUCCGAGCGUUAAUCGGAAUUACUGGGCGUAAAGCGCGCGUAGGUGGUUCAGUCAGUCAGAUGUGAAAGCCCCGGGCUCAACCUGGGAACUGCACCUGAUACUGCUGAGCUAGAGUACGGUAGAGGGUAGUGGAAUUUCCGGUGUAGCGGUGAAAUGCGUAGAGAUCGGAAGGAACACCAGUGGCGAAGGCGACUACCUGGACCGAUACUGACACUGAGGUGCGAAAGCGUGGGUAGCAAACAGGAUUAGAUACCCUGGUAGUCCACGCCGUAAACGAUGUCAACUAGCCGUUGGGGGACUUGAUCCUUUAGUGGCGAAGCUAACGCGAUAAGUUGACCGCCUGGGGAGUACGGCCGCAAGGUUACACUCAAUGAAUUGACGAA
rnacentral:rRNA from 1 species